UUUUUGUUCAGCGUUUGUUUUUGUUCGGCUUUUGAUCGUCCGUCCUAUUUGAUAAAAAAUAUGACUGGUAUUUUUAUAGUUAUUAGAUGAUAAAACAUAGAAAGUAUUUUAUGUGUAGCUAUUUUUUAAAUUCAUUUUAUAAUUUUUUAAAUAAUACGAAUGAUCAAACGAUGAUCACGGGAAUCCACAUAUGCAGAUAUA
rnacentral:pre_miRNA from 1 species